UUUUCUGGCCAACAAAGAAGAAAGAUAAACCUUCGCCUCUCUCUUUUCCUUUUCGGUCUUCCUCUCUCCACUGCUCUCAUCAUUACCGCGCUCUCUCUCACCCUUUAAGCUCAAGAUCUUCCUUGCUUUCGGUGCUUUGAAAAGCAAAUCUGAGGUUCCUACCUCUCCACUUCCUUCACAAAAACUCACCUUCCCUUCUCUCUCUCUCUCUCACUUUCAAUCUUUUCACUUGACAAUAUACGCAUACAAUCAGUAAAACCUUUUCUAGAGGUUUUUCAUUCUUCUCAUUAAGCUUUAAUGCUUCUCUUGAAAAGGUUUAAACCUUUUCUUUUCUUGAUUGCUUCCUCUUCAAGAUCUUAUCUUUACUCUGCUUAAAAAAUAAGCUGACAGAAAAUUUUAUCAAGAAAGCGAUGCUAAAAUAUUCCCAGAAUUUUCUUCCAGCCUUAAUAAAGUAGUUACUAUUGAGGUACUUGUAAAUGGUUCUUCAGCAUCAAAUCUGUUAACUUGAGCCCACAAUAGUUAAGAAGAAACAGAGAGAAUCAGAGCAUUUGUUAAUGGAUUCGAGUAGUAGUCACAACUCCAGUUCAGGGUCGUUGAGAUUUCGCUCAGCUCCGAGUUCACUUCUUGCAAAUUUCACUGAUAAUGGAGUCGAAAAUGAUUCUGUUCUGAAUUUCCAAGAGUUUGAGGAUAAAUCCGCUGCAAGAGUGAGAGAGGAAGCUGUUAAUUAUUCAAGUUUGCCGCGGAGUUAUCCAGGUUUGCCUCCUCAUUAUCCAAGGCAAAGUUCAGCUACAAGUUCUUCAGCUAUGAAUAGUUCAUAUGGUUUGAUUGGUUCAAUAUCAAUGGGUCAUCAUGAGCAAGUUGAAAAGGUUGAUUCAAAUCCUGCUAGGCAGAAUAGCUCUCCCGCUGGACUUUUUGGGAACCUUCCUGUUCAAAAUGGAGUGGGAAACUAUUCUGGGUUGAAUGGUACUAAUGGAGAAGCAAGUCCGAGAUUGCAGAGUCAACUUAGCUUCUCAUCAAGAGUACCUUCUUCCUUAGGCUUGCUGUCACAGAUUUCUGAAAUUGGGAGCGAAAGCAUGGAGGCAGGCAGCCCUGACAGUGGAAAACUCACAAGUGUCAGUGUUGGCGGUCGAUUUUAUAGCAGUCACGGGUUUCCGUAUGGUUCUUGGAAUGAUUUGCAUUUGUCAGAGAACUAUAGCAGCAUGAAAAGAGAGCAAGAAAAUGAAAACUUGUUUUCUAAUGCUCAGAGCGGAGAACUUGGAAAUCGGGCUCAUGUAUUAUCCCACCACUUGAGUUUGCCAAAGACUGCAAUGGAAAUGGUUGCCAUGGAAAAGUUUCUCCAUUUCCAAGAUUCUGUUCCUUGUAAAAUUAGAGCAAAGCGUGGUUGUGCCACUCAUCCUCGAAGUAUCGCGGAAAGAGUGAGAAGAACUCGGAUCAGUGAAAGAAUGAGGAAACUACAAGAGCUUGUUCCAAACAUGGACAAGCAAACGAACACAGCAGACAUGUUAGAUUUGGCUGUAGUGUACAUUAAAGACCUUCAGAAACAGUACAAGACACUAAGUGACAACCGAGCCAACUGCAAGUGUUUAAGCAAGCAGAAGCCAGUGCAAAACAGAAUUGUUUGAGGUGCUUCUGUACAGAAAUCCAAGGGGCUGUACGACCAGUUCUUGUUGAUCUUUAGCAUCAGUUUAAAAAAGUUAGUCCAGCCCUCGUCAUCACAUGGGUAACCAAUCUAAUUCAUCCUAAAAAGCGAAAAAGAAUACACCCACAAAAAACAAGAAAAAAUUCGAAGAUGGUCGCAUCUGUCACUGGAAAAUCUACCGCAAGGAAGGAACCAAGGAACAAGGCAGCAGCUGGCUGCAAUUGCAAUACUGAAAAACAAGAGAACAGUUCGACCCUCAGAUAUUUACUAUCCAAAGAGGGUAAUGGGAUCACUUGAUUUCGUUGCCGUUGCUUGGAUUUGGCAAAAAGAAACCUCCCAUACCCAUUGGCAAUUCCAUGGAUCACAUUAGUCGACCACAUGCUGAUAUUUUGAUCAACAAUAUUCUACCUCGAUUGACACUGGGGGAAGCAACGCGAACCCGUGUUGAAGUAUUACAUAUGUUAGUCUCGCAGUGUUUGGGGAAGCUGAAAAUUUGAGGCUAUAAUGCCUAGAGUUAAGGAUAUCCACAAGAAACCUUGUCUCCUAUAAGCAUUAUGGGGACGAGACAACAGCCCCGUCUUGCUGCAGUAGAUGUUGGGGGGCUUUUUGCCUUCAAUUAUUAAUUAGAAGUGAAUGUGGAUUGUAUGCUUUGUCUCCAUCAUGGAGUUUAUUAGCCGCCCAGAACAUCAACGGCUUAAGGUAGUGGAAAUUGUCAGGUUUAAUGUGUUUGCUUUUAAUAAAGAAUCCAUCAUGUGCUUUGCAGAGUGUGCUGAGUUCCUUCUGUUGAAUUCUAACCUCGUGAAGUGUGGCAUGUGGUAGACUCGUCGGGGAAGCUGAAAUCUUGUGUCUAAUCUCUGAGGCUAAAGUUCCUCGAGUUGAAGGACAAUCUCAUGGAAAGUAUUGAUAUAUCUGAAAUAAACGACCUUGUCUCCAGCGAGUAUUAUGAGGACAGGAUAACUGUGAUCUUUUAAGGACGUGGCUAGUCUUGCUGCAGUAGCUUUCAGUGGGCAACGUUAAUGCUGUCAUCUUUUUGAAGAUUAUCUUUCUGGUCUUUGAACCUUCCUUUCUCAAUUAGAGACACUUUGUACUCUGUUAUAUUCUUUUAUGUUUAAUAUCUCCUUUGUAGCUGUUUAUUCUGGGUGAAAUUGGAUACUCUAAACGCUAUUUUAACAUAUUGGAUUACAUGGUUAAUGAAACAAAUAUAGUGUUUGUAAUGCCCAGAUUAAUCUUAAAGAA